rnacentral:rRNA from 1 species
UACGGAGGAUGCAAGCGUUUAUCCGGAUUUAUUGGGUUUAAAGGUGCGUAGCGGAAAUAGUCAGUGGUGAAUCCUACAGCUUAACUGUAGAAUUGCCGUUGAUACUGUUUUUCUUGAGUAUGGUCAAGGAAGGCGGAAUGUGUAAUGUAGCGGUGAAAUGCUUAGAUAUUACACAGAACACCAAUUGCGAAGGCAGCUUUCUGGCCCAUUACUGACGCUGAGGCACGAAAGCGUGGGGAUCGAACAGGAUUAGAUACCCGUGUA